rnacentral:rRNA from 1 species
UACGAAGGCGGCAAGCGUUGUUCGGAUUUACUGGGCGUACAGGGAGCGUAGGCGGUUGGAUAAGCCCUCCGUGAAAUCUCCAGGCUUAACCUGGAAAGUGCAGAGGGGACUGUUCAGCUAGAGGAUGGGAGAGGAGCGCGGAAUUCCCGGUGUAGCGGUGAAAUGCGUAGAGAUCGGGAGGAACAUCAGUGGCGAAGGCGGCCAUCUGGGACAACACUGACGCUGAAGCACGAAAGCGUGGGGAGCAAACAGG